UACUACCGAAGCUACGGCAUCAGUAAUGAUGGGUAGGGGAGCUUCCCAUACGGGUUGAAGCAUGACCGUAAGGACAUGUGGACAGUAUGGGAGUGAGAAUGUUGGCAUGAGUAGCGAGAUGUGGGUGAGAAUCCCACAGGCCGUAAACCCAAGGUUUCCAGGGGAAGGUUCGUCCGCCCUGGGUUAGUCGGGACCUAAGCUGCGGCCGAAAGGCGUAGGUGAUGGACAACAGGUUGAUAUUCCUGUACUACCGAUAACCGUUUGAGAGAAGGGAUGACACAGUAGGAUAAGCUAAGCACACUGUUGGUUAUGUGUGCCCAAGCAUUGAGGCAGUCAAAGUAGG
rnacentral:rRNA from 1 species